UACGGAGGGGGCUAGCGUUGUUCGGAAUUACUGGGCGUAAAGCGCACGUAGGCGGCUUUGUAAGUUAGAGGUGAAAGCCCGGGGCUCAACUCCGGAAUUGCCUUUAAGACUGCAUCGCUAGAAUUGUGGAGAGGUAAGUGGAAUUCCGAGUGUAGAGGUGAAAUUCGUAGAUAUUGGGAAGAACACCAGUGGCGAAGGCGGCUCACUGGCCCGUAACUGACGCUGAGGUGCGAAAGCGUGGGGAGCAAACAGG
rnacentral:rRNA from 1 species